rnacentral:rRNA from 1 species
AUUGAACGCUGGCGGCAUGCUUUACACAUGCAAGUCGAACGGCAGCACGAAAAAGCUUGCUCUUUUGGUGGCGAGUGGCGAACGGGUGAGUAAUGCAUCGGAACGUACCGAGUAAUGGGGGAUAACUGUCCGAAGGGAUAGCUAAUACCGCAUACGCUUUGAGAAGGAAAGUGGGGGCUCUUCGGACCUCACGUUAUUCGAGCGGCCGAUGUCUGAUUAGCUAGUUGGUGGGGUAAAGGCCUACCAAGGCGACGAUCAGUAGCGGGUCUGAGAGGAUGAUCCGCCACACUGGGACUGAGACACGGCCCAGACUCCUACGGGAGGCAGCAGUGGGGAAUUUUGGACAAUGGGCGCAAGCCUGAUCCAGCCAUGCCGCGUGUCUGAAGAAGGCCUUCGGGUUGUAAAGGACUUUUGUUAGGGAAGAAAAGGAUAGUGUUAAUACCAUUAUCUGCUGACGGUACCUAAAGAAUAAGCACCGGCUAACUACGUG